AUUGAACGCUGGCGGCAGGCUUAACACAUGCAAGUCGAGCGGUAACAGAGAGAAGUUUGCUUCUCUGCUGACGAGCGGCGGACGGGUGAGUAAUGCCUAGGAAUCUGUCUAGUAGUGGGGGAUAACUUGCCGAAAGGUAAGCUAAUACCGCACACGUCCUACGGGAGAAAGGAGGGGACCUUCGGGCCUUUCGCUAUUAGAUGAGCCUAGGUCGGAUUAGUUAGUUGGUGAGGUAAUGGCUCACCAAGACCGCGAUCCGUAACUGGUCUGAGAGGAUGAUCAGUCACACUGGAACUGAGACACGGUCCAGACUCCUACGGGAGGCAGCAGUGGGGAAUAUUGGACAAUGGGGGGAACCCUGAUCCGGCCAUGCCGCGUGUGCGAAGAAGGUCUUAGGAUUGUAAAGCACUUUAAGUUGGGAGGAAGAGCAGUUAACUAAUAUUUGACUGUUUUGACGUUACCGACAGAAUAAGCACCGGCUAACUUCGUGCCAGCCGCCGCCGUAA
rnacentral:rRNA from 1 species